AAAAAGUUCAAGAUAUAUGGACGUUAUAAUAAAUUGAACAAAUAACGGCAAUAUUAAUCUGAAAAAAAUCAUGUCCGCCCGAAAUAAUAUUAUUCAAAAAAUUGUCCGACCGAAAUUCUAGAUUAAUGGGCGGACAAUUGUUUUAAGUCAUAUUUAUGGGGCGGUCAUUCAAUUAAGCAUCCUAAAACAAAAAAGUUUUCGGACAUAUUAAUAUAAUACACAAAUUUUAUGUCAACAAUAAUAUGUUUGCCUAGUUGCUAGACUUCACAUCAUAUAUACCUAUUACGAGUUUGGGAAACAAAGUGAAAAAUAAAAUAAAAAUGAACACACCACAUUUAAAAAAAAAAAUCACUCUCACCGAGUACCUCCACCCCCCAC
rnacentral:lncRNA from 1 species